CUCGUAGUUGGAUUUCUGGCAGGAGCGACCGGUCAUGCACUAUGUGCGUGAACUUGUGUUGUCUCUGGCCAUCCUUGGGGAGAUCCUGUUUGGCAUUAAGUUGUCGGGCAGGGGAUACCCAUCGUUUACUGUGAAAAAAUUAGAGUGUUUAAAGCAGGCUUAUGCCGCUGAAUAUAUUAGCAUGGAAUAAUAAGAUAGGACUUCGGAACUAUUUUGUUGGUUUGCGUUACGAAGUAAUGAUUAAUAGGGACAGUUGGGGGUAUUCGUAUUUCGUUGUCAGAGGUGAAAUUCUUGGAUUUCCGAAAGACGAACUACUGCGAAAGCAUUUACCAA
rnacentral:rRNA from 1 species